rnacentral:rRNA from 1 species
GGGUUGUGAGGUUAAGCGACUAAGCGUACACGGUGGAUGCCCUGGCAGUCAGAGGCGAUGAAGGGCGUGCUAAUCUGCGAUAAGCGCCGGUAAGGUGAUAUGAACCGUCAUAACCGGCGAUACCCGAAUGGGGAAACCCAGUGUGAUUCGUCACACUAUCAUUAACUGAAUCCAUAGGUUAAUGAGGCGAACCGGGGGAACUGAAACAUCUAAGUACCCCGAGGAAAAGAAAUCAACCGAGAUUCCCCCAGUAGCGGCGAGCGAACGGGGAGGAGCCCAGAGCCUGAAUCAGCAUGUGUGUUAGUGGAAGCGUCUGGAAAGGCGCGCGAUACAGGGUGACAGCCCCGUACACAAAAGCGCAUGUGUUGUGAGCUCGAUGAGUAGGGCGGGACACGUGGUAUCCUGUCUGAAUAUGGGGGGACCAUCCUCCAAGGCUAAAUACUCCUGACUGACCGAUAGUGAACCAGUACCGUGAGGGAAAGGCGAAAAGAACCCCGGCGAGGGGAGUGAAAAAGAACCUGAAACCGUGUACGUACAAGCAGUGGGAGCACAGGUUUACCUGUGUGACUGCGUACCUUUUGUAUAAUGGGUCAGCGACUUAUAUUCUGUAGCAAGGUUAACCGUAUAGGGGAGCCGGAGGGAAACCGAGUCUUAAU